AUUGAACGCUGGCGGCAUGCUUUACACAUGCAAGUCGAACGGCAGCGCGGGCUUCGGCCUGGCGGCGAGUGGCGAACGGGUGAGUAAUACAUCGGAACGUGCCCAGUAGUGGGGGAUAGCUCGGCGAAAGCCGGAUUAAUACCGCAUACGACCUGAGGGUGAAAGCGGGGGAUCUUCGGACCUCGCGCUAUUGGAGCGGCCGAUGGCAGAUUAGCUAGUUGGUGGGGUAAAGGCCUACCAAGGCGACGAUCUGUAGCUGGUCUGAGAGGACGACCAGCCACACUGGGACUGAGACACGGCCCAGACGCCUACGGGAGGCAGCAGUGGGGAAUUUUGGACAAUGGGCGAAAGCCUGAUCCAGCAAUGCCGCGUGUGUGAUGAAGGCCUUCGGGUUGUAAAGCACUUUUGGCGGGAACGAAAAGGACUGUGCCAAUACCACGGUUCGAUGACGGUACCCGCAGAAUAAGCACCGGCUAACUACGG
rnacentral:rRNA from 1 species